UACUACCGCUAGGGGAGCUUUGCUGAGAUUGAACGGAGAUUCCGUCGGACCCUUAUUACCUGAACCGGAUAAUACCGGCGUAGGAAAGCAUUAGAUAUUUAUU
rnacentral:ncRNA from 2 species